rnacentral:rRNA from 1 species
GGAUGCGAUCAUACCAGCACUAAAGCACCGGAUCCCAUCAGAACUCUGAAGUUAAGCGUGCUUGGGUGAGAGUAGUACUAGGAUGGGUGGCCUCCUGGGAAGUCCUCGUGUUGCAUUCC